GAUGAACGCUGGCGGCGUGCCUGAUACAUGCAAGUCGAGCGAACAGACGAGGAGCUUGCUCCUCUGACGUUAGCGGCGGACGGGUGAGUAACACGUGGAUAACCUACAUAUAAGACUGGGAUAACUUCGGGAAACCGGAGCUAAUACCGGAUAAUAUAUUGAACCGCAUGGUUCAAUAGUGAAAGACGGUUUUGCUGUCACUUAUAGAUGGAUCCGCGCCGCAUUAGCUAGUUGGUAAGGUAACGGCUUACCAAGGCAACGAUGCGUAGCCGACCUGAGAGGGUGAUCGGCCACACUGGAACUGAGACACGGUCCAGACUCCUACGGGAGGCAGCAGUAGGGAAUCUUCCGCAAUGGGCGAAAGCCUGACGGAGCAACGCCGCGUGAGUGAUGAAGGUCUUCGGAUCGUAAAACUCUGUUAUUAGGGAAGAACAAAUGUGUAAGUAACUAUGCACGUCUUGACGGUACCUAAUCAGAAAGCCACGGCUAACUACGUG
rnacentral:rRNA from 1 species